rnacentral:rRNA from 1 species
GAGUUUCGAUCCUAGGCUCAGGACGACGCUGGCGGCGUGCUUAACACAUGCAAGUCGAACGAUGAAGCCCAGCUUGCUGGGUGGAUUAGUGGCGAACGGGUGAGUAACACGUGAGUAACCUGCCCUUGACUCUGGGAUAAGCGUUGGAAACGACGUCUAAUACCGGAUACGAGCUUCCACCGCAUGGUGAGUUGCUGGAAAGAAUUUGGUCAAGGAUGGACUCGCGGCCUAGUCAGCUUGUUCGGUGAGGUAACGGCUCACCAAGGCGACGACGGGUAGCCGGCCUGAGAGGGUGACCGGGCCACACUGGGACUGAGACACGGCCCAGACUCCUACGGGAGGCAGCAGUGGGGAAUAUUGCACAAUGGGCGAAAGCCUGAUGCAGCAACGCCGCGUGAGGACGACGGCCUUCGGGUUGUAAACCUCUUUUAGCAGGGAAGAAGCGAAAGUGACGGUACCUGCAGAAAAAGCACCGGCUAACUACGUG